rnacentral:tRNA from 1 species
GCCCAGAUGGCGAAAUUGGUAGACGCGCUAGUUUCAGGUACUAGUGGGGAGACCCUUGGAGGUUCGAGUCCUCUUCUGGGCACCA